AUCCAGCCGACGAGCCUCAAAUAGGACGAAACGCGCAUCCUGGAU
rnacentral:hammerhead_ribozyme from 1 species